ensembl:lncRNA
GCAGGCUCUCGGGGCGCGCGCGCUCCCGCGUGAGGCGAGUGCACGCGCGUCCUCCCGCCCUCCGGUGCUUGAAGGUGCAGGAAGAGGGCAGUGGCUGCCGGUCCUAGCCUCCGCCACAUUUGAGUCCAGACUGAGGGGUACGGAAGAAGAGCCUUGAGCCCCUCGCUGGGCUGGGUAGUGAGACUGCCACCCGUCCCGCCCUAGCGUCAUACCUGAAUCUGAGGCUGGUUCUGAAUGAUGGUCCAGCGUGUGGCCCCCUUCGCUUGACACGGGCCUCACCACAGCGCCCUGCUCAGCCUUUGGGUUAUUAAAGCGCUCAAGCCGCGCCGUUUGCCAAGUCACCGCACACCCCGGCUUCCGCCGGAACCCGAUCUCUGGAAACUGUAAAGGGAAGGCGAAGCCAUGUCUACCCCUUCCCAAGAAGUCUUUGAGACCUUGACACUGAGAACACUUUCCCCCGUUUUAAUGCAAGCACUUUGCAGAUUAUUAGUGCUGGAGCCUGAGGCAUGAAUGCCGCAGACCUUUUCCAGGUGUUUGUUCAGGUCUGUUGGGUUGAUUUUUUUUUUAUCUAUGCUGAGACGGAAAGAAUUCUGCAAUUUUCCACCAUUUCCACGUGUCCUAGGCAUUUUCGGAGGAGUCACAGAGUCUCCUUUUACGAGCUUUAUCUUUUCCCAAGGGAGGAGAUCUCUGCUCUGUCUGAACUGACACUUAGGCUUCCUGGCUUCUUAGAGAAUAGAUCCACUUAGAGAAUAAAUCUGCUCAAGUGUAAUCAAGACCUAAAUCCUAUCCUUAUAUCCGCUGCUGCACCCAGCCCAAGACCGUAUAUGCAGUAGAUGUGCUGUAAAAAUGUUCUCCCAAUAGAAGAAACACAAACUCAUCUGGAAGCCAAAAGGCCCAUUCAUCAGCCCACUGAUGUGCUCCAUACAGAUGAGUUUCUCUGAACAGAGAGCAAGGAAAAGGGUAGAGAAU